GAGAGGCGGAGAAACAAAGUCGGAAAACAGAUUAAAACCAACGCUAGAAGCGGUACCUCGGUUUGCCAGUACUAUGAGAAAACUUAACCGAAGAAAAAAAAACGAAGAAGCCUGGAUACUAAAACAAGCUUUGAAGCAUUUGUUUGUCGAACACGAGUGAGGCUGGACGCUGAACACACCUGCGGCGCGAAGGUGUCACCACUUCGUCCACCACUUCGUCCCCGACCUCGUCCGUGAUCGCAGAGACAUGGUCCAUCUUCAGAGAGACAUUGUCGAGGAUGAGGGAGACAUUGUCCACCAUCAGAGACAUUGUCCAUGACUCACAGAGACAUGUGCUAAAGUUGGUGGUGACGGAGUUCCCCAAGUUGACUGCAUCACCCACGAUCAGAGAGACAGUGUCUAUGAUCACAGAGACGUAGUCCAUCGAUCACAGAGAGACUUCGUACAAGAAGUUCUUUGAGACCAGGGCAGAGGCCUCCAGGAAGAGAAGACGACAGCAGCUGAAGACCUGAAGUGGAUGAAAGAAAACAAAAGCGUUACAAAGCUGUUGCUUAGAUAAAAGACCACCACCAUCUAACUGCUGUAAACAGUGUUGGUUUCCUGUUGUUCAAGUGAAAACACUUUUCUCUACCAACUGUAAUGUAGUCAUGGGCACAUUUUCCAAAGACUAAUAUGUCUUUAUUAAGCACCUGUGAGAACAUUCAACUGCUUAUGAUACAACUAGUUAAUUAAUAAUUGUAUCACAGGCAGUUAGAUGAUCACAAAGAUGCUUAGUAGACACGUUCAUAUUUGCAAAAUGUGCUCAUAACAUUAACUCUGACCAGCUCUAACAAGUGUUUCCUUGUGGUCAAAUGCCUGUCAUUAUCUUUGCUCUGUUGUCUGGAAUAAAAUCAUUAUAAGUGUCUUUCUAAACUUUAUAUAUAUUUAAUAUAUUUUUGUAAGGUUUUACAUUCAUUGUUCAGAUAUUUUUUAAAGGUUUUAAUUAUAUUAUUAAAGGCGGCAAUUUUUUACAGGUUUCAUGCCUUAAUUCUUACAGGCUGAAUAUUUAAAGGUUUUAACCUUAUGUUUUAGACCCUUUUCUAUUAUAUUCUAAACUAAGGUUUGAGAUUUUCUGUUUUAUAUAUGUUAUACAUAUUUUUUAGA